rnacentral:rRNA from 1 species
UACGUAGGUGGCGAGCGUUGUCCGGAUUUACUGGGCGUAAAGAGCGCGCAGGCGGUCGUCCAAGUCGCGUGUGAAAGCCCCCGGCUCAACUGGGGAGGGUCACGCGAUACUGAUCGACUCGAAGGCAGGAGAGGGAAGCGGAAUUCCCGGUGUAGUGGUGAAAUGCGUAGAUAUCUGGAGGAACACCGGUGGUGUAGACGGCUUUCUGGACCGUAACUGACGCUGAGACACGAAAGCGUGGGUAGCAAACAGG